AACGCGAAGAACCUUACCAGGGUUUGACAUCCUGUGCUCACCUCAGAAAUGGGGUUUCCCCGCAAGGGGCGCAGAGACAGGUGCUGCAUGGCUGUCGUCAGCUCGUGUCGUGAGAUGUUGGGUUAAGUCCCGCAACGAGCGCAACCCUCGCCUUUAGUUGCCAUCAUUCAGUUGGGCACUCUAGAGGGACCGCCGGCGACAAGCCGGAGGAAGGUGGGGAUGACGUCAAGUCCUCAUGGCCCUUACACCCUGGGCUACACACGUGCUACAAUGGCGGUGACAGUGAGCAGCUAGUCCGCGAGGACACGCUAAUCUCAAAAAACCGUCCCAGUUCAGAUUGCACUCUGCAACUCGGGUGCAUGAAGGUGGAAUCGCUAGUAAUCGCAGAACAGCAGGCUGCGGUGAAUACGUUCCCGGGCCUUGUACACACCGCUCGUC
rnacentral:rRNA from 1 species